rnacentral:rRNA from 1 species
UACAGAGGUCUCGAGCGUUGUUCGGAUUCAUUGGGCGUAAAGGGUGCGUAGGUGGCUUGGUAAGUCGGAUGUGAAAUCCCGGGGCUCAACCCCGGAACUGCAUUCGAUACUGCUUUAGCUUGAGUCCUGGAGAGGAGAUCGGAAUUUACGGUGUAGCAGUGAAAUGCGCAGAUAUCGGGAAGAACACCCGUGGCGAAGGCGGCACUCUGGGACGGUACUGACGCUGAGACGCGAAAGCGUGGGGAGCGAACAGG